rnacentral:rRNA from 1 species
CCUUUGGGGCUGGUUCACAGGUGGUGCAUGGUUGUCGUCAGCUCGUGUCGUGAGAUGUUGGGUUAAGUCCCGCAACGAGCGCAACCCUCGUUCCAUGUUGCCAGCACGUAGUGGUGGGGACUCAUGGGAGACUGCCGGGGUCAACUCGGAGGAAGGUGGGGACGACGUCAAAUCAUCAUGCCCCUUAUCU